rnacentral:tRNA from 2 species
UAUAUUUGGGUGUUAGAAGCACAGGAAAUUUUGAUUUUCCAAGAUAUGGUUUAAUUCCAUAAAAUAUAA